CGGGGUGUAGCUCAGUUGGCUAGAGUGCACGAUUCGGAUUCGUGAGGUCGCCAGUUCAAGUCUGGCCACCCCGACCA
rnacentral:tRNA from 1 species